rnacentral:rRNA from 1 species
GACGAACGCUGGCGGCGUGCUUAACACAUGCAAGUCGAACGGAAAGGCCCUGCUUUUGUGGGGUGCUCGAGUGGCGAACGGGUGAGUAACACGUGAGUAACCUGCCCUUGACUUUGGGAUAACUUCAGGAAACUGGGGCUAAUACCGGAUAGGAUCUCCUGCUGCAUGGUGGGGGUUGGAAAGUUUCGGCGGUUGGGGAUGGACUCGCGGCUUAUCAGCUUGUUGGUGGGGUAGUGGCUUACCAAGGCUUUGACGGGUAGCCGGCCUGAGAGGGUGACCGGCCACAUUGGGACUGAGAUACGGCCCAGAAUCGUACGGGAGGCAGCAGGGGGGAAUAUUGCACAAUGGGCGGAAGCCUGAGGCAGCAACGCCGCGUGCGGGAUGACGGCCUUCGGGUUGUAAACCGCUUUCGACUGUGACGAAGAGUGAGUGACGGUAAUGGGUAAAGAAGCACCGGCUAACUACGUG